rnacentral:sRNA from 1 species
GCCAGGCUUGGUGGUGGAUGCCUGUAAUUCCAGCGGCUCAGGAGGCUGAGGCAGGAGGAUUGUGAGUUCAAAGCCAGCCUCAGCAACAGUGAAGCACUUAGAAACUCAGUGAGAUCUUGUCUCUA